AGAGUUUGAUCAUGGCUCAGGACGAACGCUGGCGGCGUGCCUAAUACAUGCAAGUCGAGCGAACCCUUCGGGGUUAGCGGCGGACGGGUGAGUAACACGUGGGCAAUCUGCCUGUCAGACUGGAAUAACACUCGGAAACGGGUGCUAAUGCCGGAUGACACACGGGAAGGCAUCUUCCUGUGUUGAAAGGUGCAACUGCAUCGCUGAUAGAGGAGCCCGCGGCGCAUUAGCUAGUUGGUGAGGUAACGGCCCACCAAGGCGACGAUGCGUAGCCGACCUGAGAGGGUGACCGGCCACACUGGGACUGAGACACGGCCCAGACUCCUACGGGAGGCAGCAGUAGGGAAUCUUCCGCAAUGGGCGCAAGCCUGACGGAGCAACGCCGCGUGAGCGAAGAAGGCCUUCGGGUUGUAAAGCUCUGUUGCUCGGGGAGAGCGACAAGGAGAGUGGAAAGCUCCUUGUGAGACGGUACCGAGUGAGGAAGCCCCGGCUAACUACGUGCCAGCAGCCGCGGUAAUACGUAGGGGGCAAGCGUUGUCCGGAAUCACUGGGCGUAAAGCGUGCGUAGGCGGUUGCGUAAGUCUGAAGUGAAAGUCCAAGGCUCAACCUUGGGAUUGCUUUGGAAACUGCAUAACUUGAGUGCUGGAGAGGCAAGGGGAAUUCCACGUGUAGCGGUGAAAUGCGUAGAUAUGUGGAGGAAUACCAGUGGCGAAGGCGCCUUGCUGGACAGUGACUGACGCUGAGGCACGAAAGCGUGGGGAGCAAACAGGAUUAGAUACCCCGGUAGUCC
rnacentral:rRNA from 1 species